rnacentral:rRNA from 1 species
UACAGAGGUCUCAAGCGUUGUUCGGAUUCAUUGGGCGUAAAGGGUGCGUAGGCGGCGCGGUAAGUCGGGUGUGAAAUCUCGGAGCUUAACUCCGAAACUGCAUUCGAUACUGCCGUGCUUGAGGACUGGAGAGGAGACUGGAAUUUACGGUGUAGCGGUGAAAUGCGUAGAUAUCGAUAAGGAAGACCAGUGGCGAAGGCGGGUCUCUGGACAGUUCCUGACGCUGAGGCACGGAAGGUCAGGGGAGCAAACGGG